ensembl:lncRNA
UAUGCACGUAGAGGAUAGCAGGAGAAAAAGAAGACAGGAGACAAGAUAUAAUAGAAUCAUAGAAUCAUGAAGGCUGGAAAAGACCUUCAAGAUCAGCUAGGCCAACCCUCAACCCAUCACCACCUCUCUCAGCAUUGCCCAGAUACUUUGGAUUGCUCUGUGUAUCUGUUGUACACAAAGAAGCUUUCAGAUGCCAGCCAAACACACGAAGAUUGCAAGAGCAAGAACUUGGACAGCAGUGUAGAUAUCAAAAGAGACGGCAGCCCAGGCAGAAGACAUUAAUUUUUCUGCUAUAAAACUGCCCCCCUUGGACAAUCAGCUCACCUAGAGAUCUACUGCUUGCUCAGAAGAGGCUGUUGUGGACUUCUCUGGGUCCAGGACUUCACCAAUGGCCAGCAGAAGAGAGGCAUGCAAGGCGGCUGGCAGAGAAAUAGCUCUCCUUCAGUACUACCCAGCUCCAUCUUGUGGCAAGGAUCAGCAAAACCUCCAAGAUUAGGAGGGACGUUCUGCUCGCUGUGUGGGCAUCAACUGACUUUCCAGCGGCACUAGGCAGGUGAUAUCCAGGGGGUGUGUUCUCCCGCCCUGUGUGCCUGCUGAAUCAUAGAAUUAUUCAGGUUGGAAAAAGACCUCUAAGAUCAUCUAGUCCAGCCAUCAACCCAUCCCCAUCAUGCCCACUAAACCAUGUCCCUCAAGGCCACAUCUCUGUUUUUCUUGAACACCUCCAGGGAUGGUGACUCCAUCACUCCCCUGGGCAGCCUGUGCCAGUGCCCAACCACUUUUCUGGAGGAGAAUUUUUUCCUAAUAUCCAACCUGAAGAUGUCCCCUCUCCCCAUGCAGCCCCCAUUCCAACCUCCUGGCACAUGUCCCUCAGCAACAGAAUUUGUUAGGAGCAGGCCUACCGAGGGCUUGGUGAUGCAGCACCUGCAAGCAUUGCUGGCUGCGAGUUUGGUGGCUGAGGAGCUGCCUGCAUACUGAACAGGGAGUGGGAAGAGGUCAGUGCCUAAGCUGUUUUGCUCUUUUCUCCUACCCGCUCCUGUCCUCCCAGGUCUGUUGUGCAUGGCUGAAGCAUUUCUGCCUGCUCUUUGUCACUGUCACAUGGCAAGGUGGGGGUUCUCAGGCAAGACCCCAUGGCACAUUUCACCACCAUUAGCAAUGAACAAGAACCUGCAUGCCAUGCUCAUAAAAACCUACACCAGCAGAGGUGACCCACUGUUGCUGUUGCCACUGCUGAAACACAAACAUCACUCUUUGAUCUCCAUAAAUGUUCAGCAACCGGCGAUGAAUGUCAGCACAUGCCACUUUUUUUUCCACAAGGAGGAAUUCAGUCCCACACCUUCGCUUCAUCCACGCUUCUAUGUCAGAUGCCAUUCUGUCAGUGCCGCUCUGCUGCCAUCUGUCACACAGCGACAUGUGAUGGAACACUGGUGGGAAGGUUUAAUCUACUGCCACUCCACCGACAUUCACCUUUGUGGAAGCCCACCUCGUUGUGGGCUAAUAUAAUAAAGCAGGAGGCAUUACUUUCGGGACAUCCCUUGUAACAUAUACAAUAUCAUUAAUAUAAAGUAACAUUAUUAUUUAAUGUUUUUCUUACAGCAUUGUGGUAACUGCCGACUGUAUACUUCCAC